ACGGGAGGCAGCAGUGGGGGAUAUUGCACAAUGGGGGAAACCCUGAUGCAGCGACGCCGCGUGAGUGAAGAAGUAUUUCGGUAUGUAAAGCUCUAUCAGCAGGAAAGAUAAUGACGGUACCUGACUAAGAAGCACCGGCUAAAUACGUGCCAGCAGCCGCGGUAAUACGUAUGGUGCAAGCGUUAUCCGGAUUUACUGGGUGUAAAGGGAGCGCAGACGGCAUGGCAAGCCAGAUGUGAAAUGCGGGGGCUCAACUCCUGAACUGCUUUGGAAACUGUCGAACUAGAGUGCAGGAGAGGUAAGUGGAAUUCCUAGUGUAGCGGUGAAAUGCGUAGAUAUUAGGAGGAACACCAGUGGCGAAGGCGGCUUACUGGACUGUAACUGACGUUGAGGCUCGAAAGCGUGGGGAGCAAACAGGAUUAGAUACCCUGGUA
rnacentral:rRNA from 1 species